GUGAAAGAGUGAGGGUGUGAUCUUCUCUGCUGAGCUUUCAGAACAACAUUUUCUCACUGAUUAAUAAAGGCUCUUUUUGGUGAACUCAGCUGGUUGUGUGUAUUUAGUGUGGGAGCCACUCUCAUCUGUACAGUCAGUCCAUCAUUUCAGAAAGAACAAAUAAUUCAGCCUGUAACACAAUGGCUUAUAUAUUAUUCUCACAUCAUUCAUUUUUAC